rnacentral:rRNA from 1 species
AUUGAACGCUAGCGGGAUGCCUUACACAUGCAAGUCGAACGGAGUGGCGAACGGGUGAGUAAUGUAUCGGAACGUGCCCAGUAGCGGGGGAUAACUACGCGAAAGCGUAGCUAAUACCGCAUACUAUUGGAGCGGCCGAUAUCGGAUUAGCUAGUUGGUGGGGUAACGGCUCACCAAGGCGACGAUCCGUAGCUGGUUUGAGAGGACGACCAGCCACACUGGGACGGAGAAACGGCCAGUGCGCCUACGGUAUGCAGCAGGGGGGAAUGUUGGACAAUGGGGUAAACCCUGCUGCAGCCAUCGCGCUGGUGGGAGGACGGCCUGCGGGUUGUAAAGCACUGUUGGCAGGAAGGCGGUACCUGCAUAAUAAGCACCGGCUAACUACGUGCCAGCCGCCGCGGUAAUAC